UACGUAGGGUGCAAGCGUUGUCCGGAAUUAUUGGGCGUAAAGCGCGCGCAGGCGGCUUCUUAAGUCUGAUGUGAAAGCUCACGGCUCAACCGUGGAGGGUCAUUGGAAACUGGGGAGCUUGAGUGCAGAAGAGGAGAGUGGAAUUCCACGUGUAGCGGUGAAAUGCGUAGAGAUGUGGAGGAACACCAGUGGCGAAAGCGGCUCUCUGGUCUGUAACUGACGCUGAGGCGCGAAAGCGUGGGGAGCAAACAGG
rnacentral:rRNA from 1 species